GACAUGAAUCUGUUUUCUCUCAGGACUACAUCCAUCGUGUGGGCCGCACCACCAGAGCAGAGAGAUCUGGGAAAUCCAUCACCUUCGUCACACAGUAUGAUGUGGAGCUGUUCCAGCGAAUCGAAGCGCUGAUCGGGAAGAAACUGCCCAGCUUCCCCACACAGGAAGAGGAAGUAAUGAUGCUGCUGGAGCGAGUGAGCGAAGCGCAGAGAUUCGCUCGGAUCGAGAUGAAGGAAAGCUCAGAGAAGAGGAAGCGGUCCAAAGCAGACGAGGAAGCGGCUGAUGACGGAGAACAGUCGAGCGGCGUGAGGAAGAAGAUCAAGGGCGGCUCCUUCAGAGGAAGAGCGAAGCGAGGACGCUGAGACUCUGCUGGAGUUUGAUUUAGUACAUCUAAUAAAUAAUGCGUUU